rnacentral:rRNA from 1 species
GGGUGAGUAACACGUGGGUGAUCUGCCUUGCACUUCGGGAUAAGCCUGGGAAACUGGGUCUAAUACCGGAUAGGACCAUGCUUUAGUGUGUGUGGUGGAAAGUUUUUCGGUGCAAGAUGAGCCCGCGGCCUAUCAGCUUGUCGGUGGGGUAAUGGCCUACCAAGGCGACGACGGGUAGCCGGCCUGAGAGGGUGUACGGCCACAUUGGGACUGAGAUACGGCCCAG